CGGGGCUGUAACUCAGUGGUAGAGUGUUCGCUUUGCAUUACCCCAUUCUCAGGAUUGGAUAUGAUACUUAUAUGCGAAAAGCCCAGGGUUCGAUCCCCUGCCGCUCCA
rnacentral:tRNA from 1 species